CUACGGGAGGCAGCAGUGGGGAAUAUUGCGCAAUGGAGGAAACUCUGACGCAGCAACGCCGCGUGAAGGAUGAAGGUUUUCGGAUUGUAAACUUCUUUGACGAGGGACGAUAAUGACGGUACCUCGAAAACAAGCCACGGCUAACUACGUGCCAGCAGCCGCGGUAAUACGUAGGUGGCGAGCGUUGUCCGGAAUUACUGGGUGUAAAGGGCGAGUAGGCGGGAUGGCAAGUCAGGUGUGAAAUUUAUGGGCUCAACCCAUAAACUGCAUUUGAAACUGCUGUUCUUGAGUGAUGGAGAGGCAGGCGGAAUUCCUAGUGUAGCGGUGAAAUGCGUAGAUAUUAGGAGGAACACCAGUGGCGAAGGCGGCCUGCUGGACAUUAACUGACGCUGAGGCGCGAAAGCGUGGGGAGCAAACAGGAUUAGAUACCCUAGUAGUCCA
rnacentral:rRNA from 1 species